rnacentral:rRNA from 1 species
GAUGAACGCUGACAGAAUGCUUAACACAUGCAAGUCUACUUGAACUUCGGUUUGGGUGGCGGACGGGUGAGUAACGCGUAAAGAACUUGCCUCACAGUUAGGGACAACAUUUGGAAACGAAUGCUAAUACCUGAUAUUAUGAUUUUAGGGCAUCCUAGGAUUAUGAAAGCUAUAUGUGCUGUGAGAGAGCUUUGCGUCCCAUUAGCUAGUUGGAGAGGUAACGGCUCACCAAGGCGAUGAUGGGUAGCCGGCCUGAGAGGGUGAACGGCCACAAGGGGACUGAGACACGGCCCUUACUCCUACGGGAGGCAGCAGUGGGGAAUAUUGGACAAUGGACCAAAAGUCUGAUCCAGCAAUUCUGCGUGCACGAUGACGUUUUUCGGAAUGUAAAGUGCUUUCAGUUGGGAAGAAAAAAAUGACGGUACCAACAGAAGAAGUGACGGCUAAAUACGUG